ACGCACGCUGGCGGCGUGCUUAACACAUGCCAGUCGCACGGAAAGGCCCUGCUUUUGUGGGGUGCUCGAGUGGCGAACGGGUGAGUAACACGUGAGUAACCUGCCCUUGACUUUGGGAUAACUUCAGGAAACUGGGGCUAAUACCGGAUAGGAGCUCCUGCUGCAUGGUGGGGGUUGGAAAGUUUCGGCGGUUGGGGAUGGACUCGCGGCUUAUCAGCUUGUUGGUGGGGUAGUGGCUUACCAAGGCUUUGACGGGUAGCCGGCCUGAGAGGGCGACCGGCCACAUUGGGACUGAGAUACGGCCCAGACUCCUACGGGAGGCAGCAGUGGGGAAUAUUGCACAAUGGGCGGAAGCCUGAUGCAGCAACGCCGCGUGCGGGAUGACGGCCUUCGGGUUGUAAACCGCUUUCGCCUGUGACGAAGCGUGAGUGACGGUAAUGGGUAAAGAAGCACCGGCUAACUACGUG
rnacentral:rRNA from 1 species